AUUACCAAUCACCUGAAACUCGUUGCAAAAAUGGGCAUAACUUCUUCCUGCACUGACUGAAAUGUUCUGUGCAGCAGUGCUGUUAUUGAUAGGUCUCAGUCACCCCGAUGUUGGAUUGUGUAUAUCAUCGCAGUUCUCCUUUCUAAACAACAACUAGCUGUUAUGGACAGAUGUAGAAUAAUGCGUGCUUGCUCCCAGGUAAUUGAACUCACGCCUGGGUACCCUGUCUCUGUGCUGCCCCAGUAACCUUUUUUCUGCUGUGUGUCCCAGCCCCUGUGCCGCCUCACGCUCGCAUUGUGCCGUGCAGAGCCCCUGAUAAUUCAUAAAGGCCAAAGGGUCAGGCCCGGUGAUAUAUUAUUGCUUCACUGUACCGCUGACGAUGGGCACAGGAGGGAAGAGGCCGGGCCGAGCGUCACCGAGUUCAGUGACUUGCUGUAAUUUUUGAACCCAAGAAACAGAAGAAAUGUGGCACAUUGGUAUCCAGGUCAUUCUCUUGGACUCGUGUGGCAAAGGCACUGGGCAGAGAGGAUUGUUGUGGCUGGUGUCACACGAACCGUUUCUUACCCCAAGGCUUGAAGUGAUGCACAGCUGAGCUGACCAAAGGAAACCCUUGAUAAGAACCAGGAACAAGGCUUUACAUUCCUAUUUCUAUAUUGGCAGCAAGCCACCACCUUAAUCCCUCUGCCACCAUGUCCCUUUUCCAAAGGUUGGAUGGUUUUUUCCUGCUGUCACUGCUCAAGUUUUGAUGGUUACAUGGGCCUUGUACCGUGUAUCCGAACAAAUCGAUCUUGGGUACCCGAUCACAGCGUGGCUGACCUUGAUCUGGCCGUGAGAUCAUUAAAACCUGUUGCAGGGCUCGCACCCUGGCCCCUUGCAACUCGAUCACGGACCGGAGCUGGGCACGCCACGGCUUCGGACACCAAACAGGGUGCAGGGAAACAACUGCUCUGAAACCAGAUCCUCCUGCUCCGCUCUGCCUGCAACACAGAUGGGCCUGAAUGAAGGCUAUCACUCCUAGUUUAUAGCCAUUAGCAGUCAUGAUCUCCCUAAUAUGCAACAGAAAUAAUAGUAUUAUUAAUAAUAAUAUCAAACUGACACAUUAUUAGCCUCUACAGAUGGCUCUAUUCCUCCUAAUAAUUUUUAUUUUUAUUUAAUGUUUGGAGAUGCUGUAAAAAGUGACUAGUGCUUCAAAAUGUGACCUCUGUGGGGUUUAAAACCUACUGAAUCAGAUGAGAUAUUAAAGCAUUCAAUGUAAUGUAUGACUUAAAGCUAUGUUUUUAAAACUUUAAUAGGAAAUGUCUGAUGCUUUAGAUUACUAUUUCUUGAAGUAUAGUAGGCUGAAGAAUUUGCUUCAGAGGGUCUCUUUAUAUCCAAGAAGAGCUACGUUGAGAAUACACAGUAUGUUCUUCCUUCACCAUGCCUCUAAAUAGAUGUAAAGGAAUUAGUGGGUAUUAAUAAUACAUCAUGUUUCUACUUGGUUUUAUACUAUUGUACAUAUGUUCUUAUACCACAAUCAACACCACCGUAUUUAAAUAUCUCCAAGCAGUUCAUUAAAGAAGGUGAUUAACA